UUUCGCGGUGUGUGUUCUAAGGUUUGUAAAACGUGAGAAGUGUCCCAAGUCAGUGUAAUAAGUGUUAGUUUCUUCCUUUCCGAUAGGUAUAGUGCUAAUUUAGCUAAUUAGUAAUUAGCCAGUGCGGUACUGUGCGUGAUCUGGAGAAUUCGAUAAAAGCCGUUCGACGGCUUUUAUUGUCAGCUUUUGUUCGUCCGUUUUACCUCACGCUCCACACCCCGCGCCUAUCGACCAGCCUUCCACGUCAUUCUACCACACUGCUGACCCCACGCGCCAGCAUUAAAGGUCCCAACUACCGGCCGGAGUUGGAAGGGAGUUGCUCCGUCAACCAAGCACUCCGGAAAGAGCUAAUUUCCCGCCAAAGCUCAUUACGCGCCGACGGCGGAUUUGCCAAUUCAGCAGCAAAGCGAGUGAGAUAUUCAUCGUGUUCACUUGGGUGAAUCAGCACCGGCGACGCGACGCAGCAGACAGGGGGACGUCGGUAAAGCAGAAGAUAAAGUGAGUAGAAGCCUGAUAAUUGUUUGCAUGCAUGCAGAGCUUUAGAGAGUGAAAAGUUUGAUAGCAUGAAGGAAAAGUAGGUAGAAUAGAAAUCCGCACAGUUGAGUUCAGGAGAGAAGAGAAGAAAGCUUGGUGAAACAGGAAAGGAAGUAGGGUACCCGAGUAAAAUGUGAUGGCAAUAUAUGUAUGUUUAAAAUUGAAGAAUUUGUUGUUAGUUUUCAUGUAGUUGAAUGUGGUCUCAAUUAGUUCCCCCGUUGGUUGUUACACUGGUCUGAAGAGUCUUCUCACGUUUCGGUCGUUUUGUUGUAAGGUCUAGUAGUGUUGUACUCCAAGUGUGGACUGCUUGGGAAUCUCAGUCCCUCGUUGUUGCUUGUGAAACGUGUAGAUUGAUGUUUUCGAGAUAGUUUGGCCUGUGAUGAGAACUAGU